rnacentral:rRNA from 1 species
UAAGACGGAGGGGGCAAGCGUUGUCCGGACUCACUGGGCGUAAAGGGUGCGCAGGCGGUCCUGUGCGUCGGCGCUGAAAGCGCCCGGCUUAACCGGGCGAGGCGCGGCGAUACGACAGGACUGGAGGCUCGGAGAGGGUGGUGGAACUCCUGGUGUAGUGGUGAAAUGCGUAGAGAUCAGGAAGAACACCCGUGGCGCAAGCGACCACCUGGCCGAGACCUGACGCUGAGGCACGAGAGCGUGGGGAGCGAACCGGAUUAGAUACCCGGGUAGUCCACGCCGUAAACGAUGUCGACUCGGUGUGCGCCGUCCGUUUCGGAUGGUGUGUGCCUUAGCUCACGCGGGAAGUCGACCGCCUGGGGACUACGAGCGCAAGCUUA